AACGAACGCUGGCGGCAUGCCUAACACAUGCAAGUCGAACGAGACCUUCGGGUCUAGUGGCGCACGGGUGCGUAACGCGUGGGAAUCUGCCCUUGGGAUCGGAACAACAGUUGGAAACGACUGCUAAUACCGGAUGAUGACUUCGGUCCAAAGAUUUAUCGCCCAAGGAUGAGCCCGCGUAGGAUUAGCUUGUUGGUGAGGUAAAAGCUCACCAAGGCGACGAUCCUUAGCUGGUCUGAGAGGAUGAUCAGCCACACUGGGACUGAGACACGGCCCAGACUCCUACGGGAGGCAGCAGUGGGGAAUAUUGGACAAUGGGCGAAAGCCUGAUCCAGCAAUGCCGCGUGAGUGAUGAAGGCCUUAGGGUUGUAAAGCUCUUUCACCCGGGAUGAUAAUGACAGUACCGGGAGAAUAAGCCCCGGCUAACUCCGUGCCAGCCGCCGCAGUAACAC
rnacentral:rRNA from 1 species